AGCGAACGCUGGCGGCGUGCCUAACACAUGCAAGUCGAACGUGAAAAGGGAAACCUGAGUAAAGUGGCGUACGGGUGAGUCACGCGUAGGUAAUCUACCCCAGAAUCUGGAAUAACCUGCCGAAAGGCGGGCUAAUACUGGAUAGAGCGAGGGAACUUGUAAGAGAGUUUUUCGGGAAAGGGAGCCCGCAAGGGCCUUCGUUCUGGGAUGAGCCUGCGUCUCAUUAGCUAGUUGGUAAGGUAACGGCUUACCAAGGCGAUGAUGAGUAGCUGGUCUGAGAGGAUGAUCAGCCCAACUGGGACUGAAACACGGUCCAGACUCCUACGGGAGGCCGCAGUGGGGAAGCUUGCGCAAUGGACGAAAGUCUGACGCAGCCACGCCGCGUGAGUGAAGAAGGCCUUCGGGUUGUAAAGCUCUGUCGGAUGGGACGAACAUCUUCAUAGUGAAUAGCUAUGAGGACUGACGGUACCAACAAAGGAAGCACCGGCUAACUCCGUG
rnacentral:rRNA from 1 species